rnacentral:lncRNA from 1 species
GAUUACACAAUUUAACAUAGUGUUUGAACAUACAGAGAUUCUAGGUUCAAGUCUCAUGUCACCAAGAUUAUACUUUUAGAUGAAUAGUCACACCGUCUAACAGAGCACAAAUUACACAAAUUAAGUUGAGAUUUUUCAUAUUUCAAGAUCUGGGUUCAUUGAGUAUAUGGAACAAGAAAGAGUACAUGUUCGAUAUUUUUUCGAAAACAUGAAACAGAAAAAUGUACUGUACAUUUUGACAAUGUAUACCUCAUAGAACAUAAACCUUCGUCAUGACCUUUUGCUUGGCUUUCUCAUCGAGAUACUGAAACUUCAACAAUACUUUCUGUAAAUCAUGGAUAACCCCGUCAGUGAAUUAAGCUCCAAUCAAAUGUAUUCAACUGAUAAAUUAUACUUAAGUAAACAUAUAGAGCUACACCAAUAAACUCACUUUCCACAUAACCUAGUUUUAGUAGUCAAUGUACUAUAUUAAAAUAAUAUAUAUACAGAUAUCCAAACCGUAUAUACUCGUGUAAAAGUGUGUGGGGUGUUGCAAAAAGGGAUUUAACUAGGAGUAUUAUAUUUCUUGAGAAUCAGAAGCAGUAAGAAGGUAACUAACUUUAAGCUUAAAUAAGGGGAUGAAACUGAGAGUAUGCAAGAAAUUAGAGAGAAAGCUUAGCUAACCAUCAUCUUUUAAGUGAGAGCCUAAGGCUUCAAGAUCUGAGCUUACUGUAUAAAAGUAAGUAGCAGUUUGUAGUGACCCGACAGGUCAUUUUGUGUAUUUGAGCCUUGUUUUCCCUUUUUGAAGCUUCCCGUUUGUUGUGAUUUUAUAACUUAAGG